rnacentral:rRNA from 1 species
CAGUAGCCGCGGGAAUACGUAGGGUGCAAGCGUUAAUCGGAAUUACUGGGCGUAAAGCGUGUGUAGGUGGUUGUUUAAGUCUGUCGUGAAAGCCCUGGGCUCAACCUGGGAAUUGCGAUGGAUACUGGGCGACUAGAGUGCGGUAGAGGAUAGUGGAAUUUCCGGUGUAGCAGUGAAAUGCGUAGAGAUCGGAAGGAACGCCCGUGGCGAAAGCGAGGUCCUGGACGUUUUCUGGCGCUGAGACGCGAAAGCUAGGGGAGCGAACGGGAUUAGAUACCCCGGUAGUCCCUGUCUCUUAUAC